GAACGAGAGCUAUAUCUGUGAUAUUUGGAAGGUGGGAUUGAAGUUAGACAAAGAUGAAAGUGGGAUCAUUACAGGAGAAGAAAUUAGCAAUAAAUUAGUUCAAGUGCUUGGUGAUCAAAAUUUCAAAGCAAGGGCUUUGGAACUCAAGGAAAUAACCAUGAGUAGUGUCAGAGAAGGUGGUUCCUCUUACAAGACAUUUCAGAAUUUCCUUGAAUGGGUAAAGACAUAGGCACUGGCAUAUAAUUACCAGGUAAUGGGCGGUUAAUUCAAAAAGUACCAACCGUAAAAUACGGAUUCCAUGGCCACUGUAACAUAUAUCUUUCCAAGUGUAACUGUGAGUCUGUGAGUGUAACGGCCAUUUUUUUUUACUCUUUUACCCUUAUUAAAUUGGGUAGAAUUGUUAUUAUUGGGUGUUUGUGUGUGAGUAAAACUUUUUAAUUUGUUUUAAGUUACAUAGGUUAUUAGCUUUAAUUAAAAAAAUGAAUUUUCUUAAAACUCGCGUUUUCUUGCUUUUUAUUUUUUAAAAGUAUUUAUUAAUUGCCAAAAGUAUUUAAGAGGAAGCCAUAUUUUUAAGAGAAAGAUGUCUUUUAUUUCCACACCGUUACAAACCCUAAAAAAAGAAAAGAAACAUAAGCCUUUGGAGAAGGAAAAGAAAGUUUUAUAACUUCUUUUCUUGGUGGUAUUAAGUAUUUCUUUGACUUAUAUGAUUUAUUUUUAUUAAUUGUUUGCCUUUAAUUACUUGUAUGAUUUGGGUAAUAUAUGUGUGUUUGUAAUGCUGUGAUGAUAUGAACAGUCUGUAUUCUUUACUUGAAAUCGUUUUCUUUAUUUAGAAUCAUAUGAAUACGUUUACAAAUCCUACAACUAGACAUUCUAAGCUUUCCAUUGAUAGGUUUUGUGUUGAAAUCCUCUGAGUAUGCAAAUUGUUAUGAUUUUUCGAAUUUGGGUUACUGGUGCUGGAAAGUUCUGAUUUUCAGUGGCAGUUCUCACUUCUGGAAAUUUUUCCGUAAGGUUACACAUCUUUAAAAAUUAUGGCAAUUUUUUUAUCAACAGAUUUAUGUCUCAUAUGAUUUUAUGUUUAAUUUCGUAAUUUUAUUCGUUAUUAUUAAAUUAUUAAAAAUCAUAACAUGCGGCUGCUGCAGAUCUGGAAACUGUUUUCCAGAAUUACAGAAGCUAAAGCAUGUAACAGUUGGGCUAAUUUAUGAACAUUAUAUGUCAUGUUAGGAUUUAUAAUGAAAUUUCAAUCUUUCCUCUGUCUUUAAAAACUGGAAUCGCAAUUUUUGGGCAUGUAAAAUAAAAUAUAUGAAUUUUUUAACUUCUGUCUUCAAAUCUGGAAUUUUCUGGACAGGUUAGAUGUUCUCGGAAAUAAAAUGCUUUUAAAAUAGUUUCAGGCGUCCAAAAAUUAUGACUUUUAAUUAUAUGUUUUCUGAAUGUGUCUAAUGUAAUUAGAAAAAAGAAACGGAUUAUUUCAAGUACUAGAGAAUAUUUUAUGAAUUUUCCUAAGUGGUAAAGGUCUGUUUUGAUCAAUGCUGGACAGUUUUGUUACUUUGGUGAAAGGUCAAUAUUCUGACUUGAUUUUCACUUGUGAUGAUUUUUGUGAAAUUUUUUAUGCAAUUCUAUGCGUGUUCACAUUACCUCUGUAAAUUUUCAUGGUUUUCAGACGUGUGCAUAGGUUAUUAAAAAUCAGCAUGUGCAGGAUACUCAUGUUUAUGUUUAGAAUAUGUAUAAGUAUUGAGCUAGUAUAAAUGCCUAUGAUUUAGGGAUGAUUGGGAUUAUAUUUAAGGUUAGAGAUAAUAUUGUUGAGGUGUUGAGUAGAUUGCUGCGAAUCGAGGUAAGUAAAUUCAUGCAUGAUGUACUUUAUAAUAAAUGUAAUUUAUGUUAUAAGAAUUAUGUUUAAAUGAAAAUUCUUACAAAAUUGAUUUCUAAAAUAUUUAAAUGAAUUUAUUAAAAUAAAAACACUUUUAAAUGAAUUUAUAUAAAUAUAUUUUAAAAUGAAUUUUUCUUAAGAAAUUAGUUUUCUUAAACAAAAUGUUUUCUUAAAAAAUUUUCUAAAAGAAUUAAAUUAUCAAACAAAGGUUCUUAAAUGUUUUAGAAGACUUUAAAUGCUAUUUAUGCAAGGAUGUAAGGUGAAUUCGAAAAAAUGUUUUGGCUUAUAGUCCGUAGUAAUGUAUAUGAUGCUAAUGUUAUGAUGUUAUGUAAUGUUAUGGCCAGCUUGCUGGUAUGAUGAUGAUCUUGUGCACAAUGAUGUUAUGAACAAUGCGGGGUAUAGUACCCUAAAUGAGGAACAAUGCGGGGUAUAAUACCUUGAAUGAUGAAUGAUGAAUAAUGAUGACUACGAUUCAUGAGCUAUCAAAUGUUUAUGUUUAAAUGUUUUUACAUGAAUCUAUCUCUUAUGUUAAAUGAAGAUGUUAUUAUAAGAUGAUAUAAAAUGUUUAAAGGUAUAAUGACAAAGGUUUUCAAAUAUUAUGCAUGGAUUUGCUUACCGAGUUGAUGGCUCACCCCUUGUCUCCAAUAUUUUGCAGAUUGAUUAGAGAUGUGGCUUGGGUACGUAGAUGAAGAUUUUUUUUUAGUGGACCUUUGGAGUUACUUUAAAGAUUAAAUUUGGCUAGACUUUUUAUUUUGAAUUACAGACUUUCCUUUGGAGAAUUUAUUUCAGAUGUUUUAUGUAAGGAUUCAGUUGGAGUAUGAAUAAUGAUUGUCUAUCUUGAGUUUUUUUUAAUAAAACUAAACGAUGUGAGAUUUUAUUCUAAUUUUACCAUUGUAUUUUCAUGGGUAAUUUUUGGGGUGUUACAGUGAAUAACAUUGUCACAGGAGUCCAUUUAGUACUUUAUGCCAAAGUUUCUUUUAAUGUUCUCUCUUAGUAGAAACUGUAACUUAGUUCUGGCAACACUUAUUUUGGUUUGUUAUUUAGAAAUUUAAGAAUCCCAUGUUUGCAUGUUUACUUAUGGAGCUUGGCUGAUACAAUGCUACUUUGAAUUAUAAGCAUCCUUGAUUCUGUAAUAACAAUAUUCCUCAAGAAAUGUAUAUAUGAACAGACAAUAACAAACAGGUAUCAAACAAUAAUAUUACUAGAAAAGUAGAUGAGAACAUGGCAGGAAAUUUCCCAGAUUACCAAAAUAAGCACCUACAAUAAGCCCAUGUGUCACAGCGACCCUAUUUCCAAUAGGGAGGUAGGCCGAGCUUUUUGUCUUCUUUUCUGUAAUAUCGAAGGUGACAGAGUCUACCCAUUUAUGCAUUGCAAAUUUCCCUUUUUAUUUCCAGAUCAAAUAAAUGGAUGCUGAGUGUCACAGCCAUCCUGAUUCCUAAAGGAAGCCAAGCCAAACUGGAUUGGCUUCUCUUGUAUUUAUGCAGAAGAGACAGAGUAAAGUAAAUACCUUCCGUGUAUUGCAUAUUUUAUGGAUCACUAAGAGACAUUAAUUUAUGUAGUAUUACCUUAUGUGAAGAUUCAAACGAGAUUUGUAGAUUCAAAAUUAAGAUGGGUAGAGGGAGGAGACAAUGCUUAGAAGUAGCUGAUAUAAUGUACAGUUCAAGAUCGAAAUCACGUUACUGUUCAAGAGGACGAGACUCCUCUUGUUCCCCUCAUCUCAUGCUAGAUAUUGGGCAUAUCCCUUCUCGUUUUUACACUCCAUGUUGCUUGCUUCUCGCAAUGUCUGUACACAUAUUCUGGUUUCUUCAUUUCUGAACAUUCUUGUUUGGUGUUUCAGAUUCAUAGAGCGUAGAUUACAAAAUCAACAGCAGAUUGCUUCGAAGAAUUGAAGCUGUUCUGGCUAACCAAACUUUGUGCAAAGAUCUGCUGUCUACCUCCAGCCUGGUAAAUUCCCGCCUGGUAUCAUCCGCAGAAAACAUAGAUGAUGAAAUUCUGGGGAUCAUGCGGAGGAAGCGCCGCCGUUCUGGGGGUGCCUCGGGGGAAUCAAGCAAUGUUCCUGCUUUGCCUAAAGAUUCUGAAGUUCCUAAACCUGUUUCUCUAUUGAAGACACUCCCUCAUUCUCGCACUGAUGUGGGUGGGCUGAGUGGCACGGCUGCUGCAAAGUUCCGUGUCUUCCGCUCCUCUGGUCGAGUCAACAAAGUCACAGCUAUAUGAGUGAGCAGACCAUCUUGUUCCCAAUUACAAUGACUACGCCACACUGGUGAAGAAGAAGGAUAUUGAAGAUGUUGUUCCAAGGUCAGAUUAUACCCCAAUCAAGAAUCACCAAAAUCAGUCUAAUCUCUCUGAUAAUUGACCAAAAAUGAAAUAGCAAAUCAAACACACACACAGAUGAAUCACACAGAAGCAACAAUCAAGGGACAACAAAUUUAAGUGGUUCGGCUGGAGAUAGCCUAUAUCCACUGAAGAACAGAGCAGCAGCUUUUAUUCACUUACUGAUAACAAGAUACAAGCUAAAAAGAUGAAGUUACAUGCUUUCAUUCUCUGGAAAUCAAUCCUUCUAAGACUAUAUAUAUAGAACCAGAGGAUUCUAGAAUGAUUCCCCAUUCAUCAGCUUUGUUCUGGUUUGUUACAACUGAAUCCAGGUCUUUCCCGCUCUUGAUAACAGCCAAUAACGGUUUUAGACGUGUGCUGCUCUCGUGCUUAGAAAUAAGUGAGAUCAAAACGCUCUUACAGAGUGUCGUUUUUGUUGAGAAUCAAAUAAAACGGCAUUGAAUGAAGCUUUCAAAAACAGAAUCUGCACUUGUCAAAGGGAUAAUCUGCACUUGUCAAAGACAAGAUCCGCGCCGAACGGAUUGACACAUUUCCUUCCGUAUUCACAUAUGUAAUCUUUGAAAAAAUGUAGCCUCUGCAUCUAUAAAUAACUCUCAAUGUAUAAUGCUUUAUUUAAGAAAUGAAAACACGUUUCUUCAUGGUAUCAGAGCCAUGAAUACGCUCAAGUUUCUUCAAGUUCCGCUGCUCUGUUUGUAACAAAAACAGAGGAAACCAAAUUCCUCCCACAACCAUUUUUCCCACCAUUUUCUUUCUUAAACCCAUUCCUACUAUUGCAGAUAUCCAUGCCGAUCAAGAAACAAGCCACCCAUACGUAAAAAACUUGAGUUUACAAAUUUAUCAACAAUCCCAUCAAUUUUCCGAGAGUGUGUUCCUAAAAAACCAAGAACACCAUCAAAUUUCUCAGUUUUCAGCGAGGAAACUGUAAAAAUUUCGCAUUUAAACACAUUCCCACGCGCUCCCACGCGCCACCCGAAGCCACGGCCAGUCAACCACGCGCCUCUGUCAUCAUUCACGCGCUCUCACGCGCUCCAGAGGUUGAAGAAGACGUCAGCCGACAUGUCAUUUUUAUCUCAGAAGUGCAGCAGUCACAAAACGACGUGUCAUUUUUUGUUAUAUUAAAACCGACAUGUCGUUUUGUAAAUUAGAGAUACAACGACGUGACGCUUAGUCUUCAGAAGUGCAGCAGGAUUAAAACGACAUGUCGUUUAUAUUCCACCAUAACCGACAUGUCGGUUUGGCAAGCAGUGGCCAAACGACCUGGCGUUUUGUUACCUAAAAAUGUUAUUUUUUUCUUCUUUCAAUCUAGACGGAAAAAAAAAAAAAAAACAAACAAAAAAAAGAAAAACAAAAAAAAAACAAAAAAAAAUGGAGAAAACUCCAACUGAAUCUAGUCUUGUUGUUAUUCAAUCUGUUCAGUCUGAUGGAGUAUUUAAUGCUGGAAUUAUCCUCACUGAGACAAACUACGAUGUUUGGUCUCAAAUAAUGGAGAUGCAUCUUGCAUAAAGAGAAAAACUCUCAUAUAUUCGUAGCAGCACAAAGCCAUUUGAGGAAUCUUCAAAGGAAUAUGAGAAAUGGUAUAGUGAGAACCAAAAAGCAAAAAGAUGGUUACUCAUAUCCAUGUCUCCGGAGAUCAUGAAGCGAUAUUUACGAAUUCCUACAGCCUACGAAAUCUGGGAUGCAUUAUCAAAAGCCUUCUAUGAUGGAAACGAUGAAUUACAAGUUUUCACUUUAAACCAGAAGGCAUUCUCUACCAAGCAAAAUGGACAACCACUCUCUAAAUUCUAUGGAGAAUUGGUCGAAAUAUUUCGAGAACUUGAUCACCGAGAUAAAGUGGUCAUGAAGGAUCCAGAAGAUGUUGUAAUAUACAGAAGGUCUGUUGAAAGAUUGAGAGUGCACAUUUUUCUUGCUGGGCUAGAUGAAGAAUUUGACCAAGUUCAUGGAGAAAUUCUACGAAAAGACAUUAUUCCAGACUUAGAAGAAUGUUAUUCUCUGAUCCGAAGAGAAGAUAUACGGCAAAGCAAACUAAACAAGAAGGUCGACUCAGAAACGUCUGCUAUGAUAGCACGACAGCAGCCUCAAAGGAAGUUUGUUGACAAGUCAUCACUCCAUUGCACUCAUUGUAGAAAGAAGGGUCAUACGAAAUAACAAUGUUUUGAAAUCAUUGGAUAUCCUGACUGGUGGGAUACUCGAAAGAAGAACACCAAGCAUGGAUCAAAAACUGCAGUAGCUGAAUCCACAUCCACUACAGAUCUUAGAAAAGAAUCUUCAGUGCAAAUCGCAACCUCUGUCAGUCCAGGUAAGGCCCUUAAAACUCUUACACCUGUUAUUAAUAGUACAUGGAUAAUUGAUUUUGGGGCAACUGAUCAUAUGACUUUUGAUUCUCGACAAGUUUCUCAAUUGAAACAAUCUUCACAAAAACAUAUUUCCACUGCAAAUGGAACCACAACCUCAGUUAUUGGGGAAGGAUCUUUACGACUCACAAAUGAAUUAAAUUUAGACGCUGUGUUAAUUGUUCCAUCUUUAGAUUAUAAUCUUUUAUCUGUGUCUCAAUUAACCACUUACUUAUCAUGUGUUGUAAUUUUUUGGCCUGAUCAUUGUGUGUUUAAGGACAUCCAAACGAAGCAAACGAUUGGUUAUGGUAUUAGACGAGGCAAUUUGUACUACUUGGAGAUGUCAUCAACAAACACUGGAAAGCUAAGCCCCGCACUAGUCGCAGAUAGUUCCAUAAAAAAAGGGAAAUCAGAAAUUUGGUUAUGGCAUAGACGUUUAGGGCAUGUGUCAUUUGGUUACUUAAAAAAAUUAUUUCCUAGUUUGUUUCUGAAAUUUGAUGUUUGUAACUUUAAAUGUGAUGUUUGUGAACUUUCAAAAAAGCCAUCGAACUACUUUUCCAUUAUCCUUAAAUAAAAAUUCAGUUCCUUUUAUGGUAGUACAUUCUGAUGUAUGGGGGCCAUCUAAAGUUUCUACAAUUGGAGGUGCUCGUUGGUUUGUUACAUUUAUUGAUGAUUGUAGCAGAAUGACAUGGAUUUUUCUGAUGAAAUCGAAAGACGAAGUAAACUCUUUAUUUCAAAGAUUUCAUAAGAUGGUGACAACUCAAUUUCAGACACAAAUUCGAGUUCUACAUACUGAUAAUUGAGGUGAGUAUAUGAGCACAACAAUUCAACAGUUUCUGAAAUCACAAGGAUCUGUCCAUCAAACCACUUGUGUGGGGACACCCCAACAAAAUGGCAUUGCUGAACGAAAGAACAGACAUUUACUAGAAGUUGUUCGAGCAUCACUAAUACAAGCCCACAUGCCAUUAUCUUAUUGGGGAGAAGCAUUGGCAUCCGCAGCAUACUUGAUCAAUCGAACACCUUCAAGCUCCCUUGGAUUUCAGACUCCUUUCCAAGUUCUGAAUGAUGCAAUUAUGUCACCAAAUGUGCCGAAUCUGCCCCCACAUGUGUUUGGCUGUGUUGCCUUCGUUCAUUUGCCGCAACAAGACAAAUUAUCUCCUCGAGCACUACGUUGUGUGUUUGUAGGGUAUGCCUUACAUCAAAAGGGAUACCGAUGCUAUCAUCCACCAUCAAGAAAAAUAUACAUCACCAUGGAUGUCGUUUUUCAUGAAGAUAUCAUGUACUACUUGUCAGAGUCUGAAUUUCAGGGGGAGUAUAAUGAAGAGGAAAUUCAUACUCUUACAUAUCUUCCACCUGAAGAAAGUCAAUCUUCCAUUGAGAUAGUAAACCUUCAAGAUACUGGAAAAGCAAAUGGUGAUGAUUCGCAGGCUGAGAUAUGUGAAGACACAUUUGGGGAGCACAAUAACUCAGACACAACUGCAAUCGAGAAUGAGUCACAUGAAGAAAUACCUAACCAAUCGUCUGCAGAGGAUGUUCCUACCACAAGUCCAAUCAAAAGAAUUCUUCCCCAGCGUCAAAAUAGAGGUAUCCCUAAACCCACAUAUGAGCCUGACUUCUCUAGUAGAGUCAAAUACCCUAUGAGUCAUUUUGUGUCUAACCAUCGCUUAUAAGAAUCAAAUCAGUCAUUUGUGAAUCAAUUAUCUACUGUAUCUAUUCCUAAUAGUGUGCAGGAAGCUUUAAAAGAUCCAAAGUGGAAAGCGGCUAUGAAUGAUGAAAUGAGAUCUCUUCAGAAAAAUCAAACAUGGGAACUAGUUGAUCUUCCACCAGGAAAGAAACCAGUAGGUUGUCGAUGGAUCUACACUAUAAAAUACAAAGCAGAUGGCUCUAUUGAACGAUACAAAGCAAGACUCGUAGCUAAGGGUUACACCCAAACCUACGGGAUUGAUUAUACUGAUACGUUUGCACCGGUAGCAAAAAUUAAUACUAUUCGUAUCUUAUUAUCAUUAGUAGUCAACUUGGAUUGGCCAGUGCAACAGUUCGAUGUAAAGAAUGCUUUCCUCCAUGGAGACCGGUCUGAAGAAAUUUAUAUGGAUCUGCCACCAGGAUGCAGUGGACCAGAACGACUCAAUCAGAAAGUAUGCAAAUUGAAGAAAUCAUUGUAUGGGUUGAAGCAAUCCCCAAGAGCAUGGUUCGGGAAAUUCACAAAGGCUAUGGUUCGUUUUGGGUAUAACCAAAGCAAUUCAGAUCAUACCUUAUUCAUUAAAAAACGACAAGGUAAAAUCACUGCCCUUAUUAUCUAUGUGGAUGAUAUGGUAGUUACAGGCAACGACGAGGAAGAAACAGAGGCUUUUUAGAAGUACUUGUCAAGAGAGUUUGAGAUGAAGGAUUUAGGUGCCUUAAAAUACUUUCUUGGAAUUGAGGUUUCUCGAUCUAAGGGAAGAAUCUUUCUGUCUCAAAGGAAAUAUGCCUUAGAUCUAUUGCACGAAACGGGAAUGACAGCUUGUCAGCCUAUUGACACCCCAAUAGAAGAAGGACUGAAGUUUUGUAUUACUUCAGACCAAGUUCCAGUAGACAAAGGAAGAUAUCAAAGGCUGAUUGGAAGAUUGAUGUACUUGUCCCACACAAGGCCAGAUCUUGCUUAUGCAUUGAGUGUUGUAAGCCAGUUUAUGCAUAAUCCCGGAGAACAACACAUGAAAGCAGUAAUGCAGAUCCUGAGGUACCUGAAGACAAAUCCAGGAAAAGGAAUCUUAUUUUCCAAAAAUGAAGAUUACAGCAACAUAGAAGUUUAUACUGAUGCAGAUUGGGCCGGGUCAGUUAGUGAUAGACGCUCUACUUCAGGAUACUUUACCUUUGUGGGAGGAAACCUUGUCACAUGGAGAAGCAAGAAACAACAUGUCGUUGCCCGUUCGAGCGCUGAAGCAGAAUAUCGAGGCAUGGCCCUUGGGAUAUGUGAAGGGCUAUAGAUAAGUUUUAUCUUAAAUGAUUUGGGCUAUCCAUCACAACAACCAAUACAACUAUACUGUGACAACAAAGCUGCACGAGAUAUUGCUCAUAACCCAGUUCAACACGAUCGAACAAAACAUGUGGAGGUAGAUAGAUUUUUCAUCAAGGAGAAAUUAGAUGAAAAAAUCUUAGAACUGCUGAAAAUUCGAUCAGAAGAUCAACUUGCAGAUAUUUUAACGAAGGCCAUUUCAAGCAGGGCAUUUACAAAAUUCCUAGACAAGUUGGGUAUGCAAGACAUCUAUGCACCAGCUUGAGGGGGAGUGUUGAGAAUCAAAUAAAACGGCAUUGAAUGAAGCUUUCAAAGACAGAAUCUGCACUUGUCAAAGGGAUAAUCUGCACUUGUCAAAGACAAGAUCCGCGCCGAACGGAUUGACACAUUUCCUUCCGUAUUCACAUAUGUAAUCUUUGAAAAAAUGUAGCAUCUGCAUCUAUAAAUAACUCUCAAUGUAUAAUGCUUUAUUUAAGAAAUGAAAACACGUUUCUUCAAUUUUAGGCUAAGCUUUACGUGUAAAUGCACGUGACAAACACAUGCUUUACCUAUGAAGCUCGGCUGACAGGAAAUAGUGGUCAUCUGCUCCAUUUCUUAUUCUAACCACAUGUCGCUCAGUACAUAACGGACAAGACAUACAACACUUAUUCAACAAACCGAUAUGGCAGCACUUUCUCUUGAAUCCAGUUUCUACUUUCUAAGCUCACACUUCAACAGAAGACAUGGAGGGUCGUACUCUCGCCGAUCUGGUGAACACUUUACAGUUUGGUGCAUAUCAGCUUAGCACAGGAGAAUUGCCUAUUACGACAAGAAAAUACAAACCAAUGCUUUGAAGAAGAGAGCGGAUAUUGCAGAGGAGAAAUCAGCAAACCCCCAAGUCGGAGUCUUAACACUCGAGGAGAAAUCCACUCAACCUGAGAAAAAGUUGAAUGAUAUGAGGGGGAAGCUUGCUAGCCAGAAAUCUUUUUUCGAGCAGCAGUUGGAGUCCUUGCAAUCCCACGUUUCCAACCUUCGGGGCCAAGUUUAAACUCUAAACAAAGAAGCUAAUGACGAUUGUAACUCUGGUCUUGCAUAUGGUAACCAAAUGAAGGCUAAGAGCUAGAUUUAAUUUUCACAAUCAAAUUCUAGUCUUCAAUUCUAAUUCACAGCAAGACAGUGGCUGUCUCUUACCAUACUAGCUCAAUUAGCUUUCCCACCAGAUCAAAGAGCAUUUGAAAAGAUUAAGGUCUUCUCAAGCUACUUCAUCAUCUUUAUCAAUAGGCCAUGAGUUAACAACCUUCAAAAUUUACAUGAUUCUGUUGAUAGAAAGCUUCAAUUGCCCCUCAUUCAACAAGCUUUAGCUCAAGGCCAGAAUAAGAAACAGAUUGAUGAGCUUUUAAAUGGAUCUUUGAGAAUCUUGGAAAUUAACAGCAUUGCUUAGAAUCACAAGGACGUCACUCAGUUCUGCGCAGAAGAAGGGGUGUUGAAACUGAAUUUACAAUUGAGAUUAAGAAGUACAUAGUCUCUAGGAAGGCAUGAAAAAGGCAAUCCACAAGGCCUUUGGGAAUUUGAAAGGCAUGGACAACAAAUUCUCCAAUCUGAUCAAUCAGGAACAUGUUAGCAUAUUGAAAAAGGUUGAAGCAGUCACCUUGGCUGCAUUUGAAUCCUUGCUGUCCCUUAUCUCAGGGCCAAAGAUUCCACCAAAAAAAAUUGGCUUAUCAUUGAUUUCAAAGCUAAUCCGGUCCAAAAUGGUAGCAUACGAAGAAGAUGAAAGAGAACUAAUGAAUUUGAGAAGGUGGAUGCUGCAUUGACUACAAUCCUUAGUCACAGGACAAGCAAUUCAGAUAACAUCCAAAACCAAUUUAAGGAACUGGAGUCCAGCAUCCAAGAUCUCAAAGAAGGUCUAGAAUCCUUGUCUAGGCGUUUGAUAAAAGCUGGAGUCUCUCUUCUAAACAUCCUCAACUAUUAGCUAGAGCACAAAAUUUUUAGGGUCUCUUAUACUUGUAAAUGAUGCAUGAAAUAUCCUAUUGUAUCAAUCUAUAGAAAGAAAAUUAAAUACACAAAUAGAAUAUUUCUAUGAUAAGAACAUUUCAUCAAUAUCAAAUAUCAAUUGAUUUUACAGCUUAAAUGCUGGUAGAUGGUACUAGAUUUUCAAUUCUCCUUGUAUGGAGUAAAAAUAAUCAAACAAAUAGAUUGGAUGAACAAGCUAAACUAAGCUUUAAAUUAAUGCUUCAGGAAGAAAUUUGCCAUUAAAGUAUUAUUGGUUCAAAAUUAAACAGAUGCAUCUAAGAGAAUCCAUAAUUUAUUCAAGGCAAAUUAAUUACAUGCAAUUUAAAAUAGAAAUGAUAGUCGUGGAGAUUCUUACUGUCUCGUGAUAGAUUACUGUAUAAUAUAUCAUAUAAUUAGCAACAUUUAUGCAAUAAAAGCAAAGACUAUGAAAUACAAGAAAGGCUAAAUAUGUCAUAGAAAAAACCUAUUUGUGUAUAUAUAAUUUUCUUUCUAUAGAAUUAUACAAGUAUAUUUCAUUCAUUUACAAGUAUGACAUCACCACAAUCUUGUAAUCUAAUUGGUGAGGAUGUUGAGAAGGGGGACUCUAGCCUUGAUCAAACGCCUAGACAAGGACUCAAGGCCUUCUUCAAGAUCUUGGAUGCUGGACUCCAUUUCUCUAAGCUGGUUUUGCAUAUAAAUGAUGUUAUCGGAUUUGAUUGUCUUGUGACCAACGACUGUAGACAAUGCAGCAUCCACCUUUUCAAACUCAUUCAUUUCUGUUUGGUCUUCCUGGCAUGCAAUUCUUUUGGGGCGGAUGAGCUUGGUUACCAAUGCAAACCUGCUUAGCUUUGAUGGAGUCCUAGACCCGGAGAUAAAGGACAACAAGUAUUCAAACGUAGCCAAUGUGACGGCUUCAACCUCCUUCAACACGCUAACAUGUUCCUCAUUGAUUGAAGGGGAGCAUUCGUUUUCCACGCCUUUCAAAUUCCCUAAGGUCUUGUUGAUUGCCUUUCUCAUUGCCUUCCUAGAGGCUAAGUAUUUCUUAAUCUCACUUGUAAGUUCAGUUUCAUCACCCCUUCUUCUGCGUAGCACUGAUUGAAGUCCUAGUGCAGAUUCCUUCAUCUGCAGCAAGGCAUUCUGAGCAGUGCUGCAAACAUCCAAGAUCUUGAAAGAUCCAUUCAACAGCUCAUCAACCCAUUUCUUUUGGUGGCCGCGGGCUAAGGCUUGUUGAACGAGGGGCAAUUGAAGUAUUUUUUCAACAGAGUCGUGUAAAUCUUGAAGGCCAUUUAACUCAUGGCCUAAUGAUAAAGUAGAAGCAGCUUGAGAAGACCUUAAUCUUCUCAAAUGCUCUUCAACUUCUAAGAUCUGUGGGUGUGAUCUUGUCGGAAAGCUGUUUGAGCGAGUAUGGCAAGAGGCAGCCAUUGCUUUUGUUGCUCUGAAUUAGAAGACUAAAAGUUAAUUUUGAAAUUCAAUCUAGCUCGUUGCCUUCAUUUAGUUACCAUAAGCUCAAAUCUCAAUAGAUAUAGCAUGAGAUGAGGGGAACAAGAGGAAUCUCGUCCUCUUAAAAUAUAAAACAGUAACAUGAUUUCGAUCUUGAUCUAAAUGUUAUAUCGGCUAAUUUUAUGCAUUGUCUCCUGCCGCACUAGCAUCAUCUUAUAUUUUGAAGUACAACUGACACUAGCAUCUUCUCAAAUGCUAAAGCUAUAUAAAUUAAUUUGUCUGAGUGGUCCAUGAAAUAUGCAACACGCGGAUGGCGUUGGCUACGUCUCCUCUGCAAGAAUACAAGAGAGGCCACUCCAGUUUGGCUUGGCUCCCUAUGGGGAACACAAUGGUGGUGGCACUCAUGCAUCCUUAUAAUUGAUUUAUUUGAUCUGGGAAUAGAAUUUAAAAUUUGCAGUGCAUGAAUGAAGUUGACUCUGUCACCUUUAAUACAACAUUGUAAUCUUGACAUUAGUAUAAUCUGCAACACACGAGUGGUGGUUAAUAAUUUAAAUUGACACAUUUGAAUUGCAAUUCAUACUGUUAAUUUAGAAUACACAAUGAGGUCAAUACACGUAUAUGGUACAGAAUUCACACAAGCCAGAGAAUUUGUAGUUACAAAGGCAUGAGAAAUGUGUCCACCUCUCAUUCAUCCAUAUAUUCAAACAUCAAUCAAGAGACAAUUGGAAUCUUGACAACUACAUAUAUAUGAUGUCUGUUUAAAAAUUGCAUGCAUAUAACUUGCCUUGAACAAAUUAUGGAUUCUCUAAGCUGAGCUUAAUACUUGAACCAAUGAUUUAACGGUAAACACUCUGGAACUCUAAAGUAUAAUCUGUUCAUCCUUUAUUUAUUUUCAUUUUUGCAAUGUUUUAAUCAAAAUGACUGGUCAUGAGCUAAAAACUUGAAGAGCUCAAGAAUUGGUUAUGGUAGAAAGCUAUAGUUGUUUCUGUAGGUGAAUUGAAAAUCAAGUAUCAUCAUCUAGCAAUAUUUGAGAGUAAAAGCAAAUAAUAUCGGGAUAGAAGAGCAAAUAAUAUCGGGAUAGAAGCAAGGCCAAAAUAUUUCAAAAUAAUUUGUUUAUGUAAUUCAUUUUCUAUCAAUAGAAUGAUACAAGUGUAUAUGUUUUUCAUUUACAUGCUUGAAGUUGAAAGUAUCAAAUCUUGUGAUCCAAUAGUUGAGGCUGUUGAGAAGGGAGAAGCUUUGAUCCAACACCUACACAAGGAUUCAAGGCCUUCUUCAAGAUCUUGGAUACUGGCUUCUAAUUCUGCCAGCUGGUUCUGCAAAUAAAAGAUGUUAUCAGAUUUGUCGUCUUGUGACCAAUGAGUGUAGACAAGGCAGCCUCCACCUUCUCAAAUUCAUUAGUGUCCUUUUCAUCUUCCUUGCAUGCUAUUCUUUUGGGGAAAAUGAGCUUGGAAACUAACGACAGUCUGCUUAGAUCUGAUGGGGUCCUUACCCCUGAGAUAAGGACAACAACGAUUCAAAUGCAGCCGAGGUGACGGCUUCACCCUCUUUCAACAUACUAACAUGCUCCUAAUUAAUAACAGAGGAGCGUUUAUUUUCCAAUCCUUUCAAAUUUCCCAAGGCCUUGUGGAUUGCCUUUUUCACUGCCUUUCUCGAGAUUAAAUAUUUCUUAAUCUCACUAGUAAGUCCUUUCAUUGUAUAACAUACCAAAUUUAACACAUGCGGAGAGCACGUAGUAAAAGGAGGCUACUUAUAAAUCGUAAACCUCACACAAAACUUCAAAUUGAAAUACUUUAAAUUUUAUUCAAACAAAUUCACAAGUCCAAUACUAAACAUUAUUUCCCAAAGUCAUAAAUUUAACAAAAGUCUCAAAACUCUCCCAUUACAAGUUUAGAAGAUAAGCAAACUUAAAGGAAACAGAAGUUCGUCCUCCUCUUAUUCAACUAGCAAAAGUAAAUAAAUUUGUAGAUUUAAAGAUAAGCACACCUCUCAGCAAAUUGCUUAAUAGACAAAAAGUAAUGAUAAAGGGUGAGCAGUCAACUCGAUAAAUAAAACCAUUCUCAACACAUUAGGAUUGUUGGGUACCAAAAGUAUUGCAAGCCCUUUUUAUCAAAACAUAUAUUAAAAACUUAAGUUUCACAAAAUGACAUAUUAUAAUAGAAAGACGUAAAUUCAUGGUGAUUCAAUACAUCAAAAGCGUAAUUAGUCAUGAAACAAAUAGUAUAAUAUAUAUACACAAAAAAAUAAAAGAUUAGCUCAUGUCAUAUAGUGUCACAUAUACUCCCGAUGACCCAAUCAAAAGCAUAAUCAAUAUCAAAAUAUCAUAUACACACUUAGAGCAAAAACUCAAUACUGGUCUAGAACAUACGUACACACACACACACACACACACACACAUAAUUAAUAUGGACAAUGAGCCAAAGAAUUUAAAUUCAUUUUUCAUAUGUUACGACUUGCAAGUGGCACUUUUUAUUGUGUGUGGUACUUCAUGGCACUUUGUCCCUCAAAAGGUGACCCUUGUACAACUUCAAGAGGUGGCCUUGUAAAAAAAUUCAUUAAUAAUCUUAAUUGUAUAUGUGAACAAAACAUUCAUAUCGAAUUCAUAAAAGAUCAUAAUAAUGAUUUAGGCUUGCAAAACAAAUUCUAUUAUAAUAUUUUAUAGAUAAUUUCGUAAAAGAUAAUCAUUUAGUAAAAUAAUUAUACAUUUAAAGGAAAAUAGAAUAUGUUGUUAAAAUCAUAAAAAUAACAUAAUUUUGGGAUUUGAAAACGUUUACAUAAACUAAUUUUGUUAUGAAAAUCAAUUAAUUUUUAAAGAACUAUAAAAAAAUGUACUUAUAAUAGUAUCAAAAUAACGUAUCCAAUAUAUUAGGAAUGAAGUUACUUACUUGACAAAAGCAAUGAUCUAAGGCUCUAAGCACACCUCCAAGCCUUCAAUAGCCUCAAACACCAUAAACAAAUUCAACAUUUACAACUUAUUCCAACAUCUUGAUUUUCUAACUCAUACUCAUACAAGUUUGAUUAGCGAUGGCAAUUUCUGGGUCCGGGUCUAGGUUCGGCCUUCCCUGUUCCAGAGUCGAACACUAAAAUGUUGUACCAAACCCAUAUUUAAACUUGUUUUUUAUGCAUACAAGUCUGGUCCAGGUUAAACUAAAAAAAAAUUGGGUUCCGAGAUUGCAGGUUUUAAACUCGAAUCAUAUACAUAAAAAAAAAAAAAAAAGUAGAAACCUAAUUCUACAAAAAUCAAAUACAAACCAAAUUCUAAAAAAUCAAAUACAAAUACUGAUUCUAAAAAUUUCAAUGUUUCAAAGUAAUAAACCAUUCACAAAUACAAAUAUAUAACAUAACAUUCACAAAAUACAAUUCUAUGUCUACAAUUCAAACUUACGAUUCACAGAUUCAGUUCACGAACUUUAAGGAUUGGCAUCUAAUGAAGCAACAAAUGGUGGCUACUAAAGAAAUGAUGAUGACAGCAACCACAAUGUCACAGCUGUGAUUGGCAUAGGUGGACAAAUGACGGCUGAUGAUGAUGAUGAACAUGAACACAACGAAGGUGCAAAAGCGAUGAUGAGUGACGACGAUGAUUUGAUGAAGAGAGAUGAAAAUGUUGAUUUGAUGAACAUAAGAGAAGAGAAGAAUUGAAGAGAGAAGAAAAGAAUGACAGGCGGCCAAGGUUGUGGAAGUGUGAAAUUAGGGCAUCGGGCUGAUUUUUUUCUAUUUAUAUUAAAAAAUAAUUUUAAAAAAUAAUAUUAAAAUAAAGAUACCCAAGUCUGGGUUCCGGAUAUGCAGGUUCAUCUGCAUCUAGAUCCAAACCCGAAUACAUUCGAGUUGCUAAAAUUCAAUCUGGUAUCCGGAUUUAUUUUAAUCCGAUACAAGCUGAACUCGGCCUGGAUUAUUCGAGUUCGUCUAGUUCCGGACUGGGAACAUGUUAAAUUGCCAUCCUUAAGUCUGAUUCUCUGAAUUUUUACUCAUAAUUUAAUAAUUAGAAUGACACAAUAGUAUACAAUACUAUUUUAGACAUUCAUCGUAUCUCCCAUUAAAUUUUUAAGAUGAUCUGAUAUCAAAAAUAUUUUCAAAACUAUUUAUCUCUUGACAAGUUGAAAACUGUCUCACAAUACCUUAACUAAAUAGUAUAUGUUCCGAGAUUUUUAUAAAAUUAUAUAUUAAUCAAAAGAUUAUGAAAUUAAAACUGAGAAUUGCUAGAUACAUAUAGUAAUCUCUAUUUUAAAUUUUAGAAUUUCCUGAAUUCAUUUUGACACUCCAAAAAAUUUUAAAAAAUUGGUCAUUAUACUUAAAUCACAUCUUCCCCAUGCAAUAGAGUCUAUUUCGAAACCCCAUAUAAAAAAAAACAAAAAACAAAAAACAAGGUCAAUAACUUAUGAAAUAUAGUUUAUUCACUAAGCCCCUAUAUGUCUAGUUUACAAAAAGAUAAGGUUCUUCUCAAAAACUAUUUCUAAAAUAUAUGUUUUAUUAUGAGAUAUCCAUAUUGUCUAGGAAUUGUUCAGUGUGUUAAUUAUAUCAUAGAUUAACUAAUGAGAGUCAACAAUAAAAUAACUCACUAAACACAUCUAAAAGACAUCAUAAAUCAUGUAUAAAGGUUUGUAACAUUCUAAAAUCAUGUAUAAAGGUUUGUAACAUUCUAAAAUCAUGUAAAAUAAAACUCUUAAUAGAAUACAAAGAUAAAAAAUCUAGUAAAGUGCAGGGAAAUUAAGAAUUAUCAACUAUUAAGACUCUCUCCUAUAUAAGUAAGAGUUCAAAUCUUAGGGUAUGAAUAAAGAGUGAUGAGUGGUUGAGAAUUUAAAAAAAAAAAUGCUGCUUGUGAAUUUAGGGUUAUGAAAGAGGAAACAAAAAUAUGAAUUAAUAGGAAAUCCUAUUAAUUAUGAAAAGAAUAAAUUUUUUCUAAAAUUAUUCUAUGAAUCAUAAUUAGGAUAUACCCAUCCUUAUUCUUAUUAGCAAUUAUGUUAUUCAUGAUUUCAUUUGGAAAAUUUUCAUAAUUAACAUUGUAGAAAUCUGGCUUUACGCGUUGCCCCUUUUCCGGCACAAAACUGAUUAAGGCCCAUGUACAGACUCGUUAAUCUGCAUCAAGCCAUCAAGGCAUUCUCGGCAAUGGUGCAAAUAUCCAAGAUCCUCAGGGAUCCACUCAACAGCUCAUCAAGCCAUGUCUUGCAACAUCCUUGUGCUAGAGCUUGUUAAAUUAAGGGCAAUUGUAGCAUUUUAUUGACAGAACCGCGUAAAUCUUGAAGGCCAUUGAUGUCAAAGCCAAUUGAUGAAGAUGAUGUAGAAACUGCUUGAGAAGACUUUAAUCUGUUCAAAUGCUCAUCAGCCUCUGAACUGAGUGGGUGUGAUCUAGGGGGAAAGCUGUUUGAGCGAGUAUGGUAAGAGGCAGCCAUAUUUUCUUGACGUGAAUGAGAGUAAGGCAGAUAAUAUGUCAUGAGACGAGGGGAACGAGUACUAACAUGUUUUUAAUCUUGAUCUAAACACAAUAUCAUCUUCUUUUAUGCCAUUGUCUCCUCCCACCAGCUCCCAAUCUUUUUUUUCUUUUUAGCUUCAAAUCACACUUAUAUCUUCUAAACAAAUGUUUACGGGUGAUCCAUGAAAUAUGCAAUACAGGGAUGGCAUUGACUCUGCCUCCUCUGUAGGAAUACAACAUAGGCCAAUCUAGUUUGGCUUUGCCCUCUGUAGGAAACAGGAUGAUUGUGACACUCACGCGUCCUUGUAGUUGAUUUUUAUUUGAUUGAGGAAAUAAAAUAUAAAAUCUUCUAUGCAUGAAUGAGCUGACUCUGCCACCUUCAAUACAGCAGAGAAGAAGCAACACGGCUGACAGCUUGGCUUUCCUCCAUGGAGGAAAUUGGACCACCUGUGACACUCUUGAGCUUAUUAUAGGUUACUCACUCUUGUCAUCUGGGAAAUCUCUUUAAUGUCCUCAUCUGUUUCUUCUAUUAAUCUUUUUGUUUGAUAACUUUUUGUCAUUGCUGUUCAUGCAUGCAUUUUUAUUUUCUAUCUUGUCAAACUUCUUUAAUAACCAUCUCAUAUAUAUCAAAAUAGCAGGAUUCUUGUAUGUCUAAGUAAGCUAAAUAACCAUUAUGAUGUUCAUUUGUAUACUAACUUCCCCUUGACACAUUGGAAAUAAAACAUGCAGCAGCUAUUUUCUCCAAGAACCAGUGCUAAAACUUGAAACUUUCGUAUGCCUGUAAGCAUCUACGUUUCGAUUUUCAUUCAGGCUAGGUUCCUAGCUCCUCCCCAUGUAUUACAAAACCAUUUGAGAUUAAUUCGUUGGGGAUAUAUUUUUCCCUAUCGGAUUUCAUUUUUUUCCCGGGCGAUUUCACGGACAUAGGAUAAUGGUAGUUUGUAGGAGUUUGAUUGAUUAAUUUUCUAAGCAAAUGAACAAUUUGAUUAAUUUUCUAAGAAAAUGGACAAAUUCAUUACCAAAGAUUAAUCAGUCUCCUUCCACCAUGUUUCCAACUCAUUUUCCAAAUUCAUUGAACUUCAGAAAAUCACAAUUGAAUCUUAACAUGACAAUUAUUUGCAACGCAAAAGUGCCGUUGACACUUAUCCUGCCUAUACAGAUGAAGGCAAUAUCCAAUUCUAUAAGCCACAUUUGCAUGUGGCUAAUUAAUAAUUCAAUGGCAUUGCUAUUCAUCAUCAUGAUGCUUAUUGUGGUAGAGAUUAUAAAAUUUUGAUUAGGUCUGCUAUCCAACGUGGCUUGCCUCUCACUUGGAGGAAAUGCCUGGCAAACGAGUCAUGGAUGCAUCAAAUUAUUAUUAAGUACGCGUAUUGCUGCAGAAAUCACCCUAAUACAAAGACAGCAAGAACAUUUUUGGAUACCUAAGCCCUGGGAAGUUAGUCUACCAUGUGGAUCUCAAUAAUAGAUAAUACUUUAUCAUCUAGUAGGCGACAAUAGGAAACUUCACAACAAUGAUUUAUAUUUUAAAAUUGCAUACAAUUUGCCAUAAACAAAUAAGGGGUUCUCUAAGAUGUGUCUAAUAUUUUGAACCAAUGAUUUAAUGGGAAAAAGAAUCUGAAGAAUUUACAGUUAAGUUUAACCUGUUCAUCCUAUGCAUUCAUUUAUUUUUACUUCAAAGAAGGCGAAAUGAUAAUCAAGUAUCAUCUGACAAUAUUUAAGAGUGAAAGCAACCGAUACUGAGAUGGAAGAAAGGUGAUAUACCAGAGAAACAAUUUGUUUUUUGUAUAUAAUUUCAUUUCUAUAGGAUGAUACAGGUAUAUUUCAAUCAUUUACAAGUAUGACAAUAAAAUUUGUAAUCUAAUUGUUGAGGAUGUUGAGAAAGGAGACUCUAGCUUUGAUCAAACGCCUAGACAAGGAUUCAAGGCCUUCUUCAAGAUCUUGGAUGCUGAACUCCAAUUCUUUCAGCUGGUUUUGCAAAUAAACAGUGUUAACAGAUUUGAGUGUCAAUGCAGCAUCCACCUUCUCAAACUCAUUCGUUUCUGUCUUGACUUCCUCACAAGCUAUUCUUUUGGGGCGGAUGAGUUUGGAAGCCAAUACAAACCCACUUAGCUUUGAUGGAAUCCCAGCACCCGAGAUAAAGGACAGCAAGGAUCCAAAUGCAGCUAAGGUUACUGCUUCAACCUCUUUCAACACGCUAACAUGUUCCUCAUUGAUUAGAGAAGAGCAUUUGUUUCCCAUGCCUUUUAAAUUCGCCAAGGCCUUGUGGACUUCCUUUUUUACUGCCUUCCUAGAGGCUAUGUAUUUCUUAACCGCAGUUGCAAGUUCAAUUUCAUCUCCUCCUCUUCUGCGCAGAACUGAUUGAAGUCCUUGUGUAGAUUCCUUAAUCUGCAAGAGAGCAUUCUGAGCAAUGCUGCUAGUUUCCAAGAUCCUCAAAGAUCCAUUCAAAAGGUCAUCAACCCAUUUCUUAUGCUGGCCUGGGCUAAAGCUUGUUGAACAAGAGGCAGUUGAAGCAUUUUAUCAACAGAAUCAUGUAAAUCUUGAAGGCCAUUUAACUCGUGGGCGAUUGAUGAAGAUAAUGAAGUAGAAACAGCUUGAGAAUACCUUAAUCUUCUCAAAUUCUCUCCAACAUCUGAAGUGAGAGGGUGUGAUCUUGUGGGAAAGCUGUUUGAGCGAGUAUGGUAAGAGGCAGCCAUUUUUCCUUGCUGUGUAUGAAAAGACUGGAAGUUGAUUGUCAAAAUUCAAUCUAGCUCUUUUGCCUUCAUUCGGUUAACAUAUGCUAUAUAUAUAGCAUGAGAUGAUGGGAACAAGAGGAAUCUCAUCCUCUUGGAAUAUCAAACAGUAACAUGAUUUAGAUCUUGAUCUUAACAAUAUAUCACCUAAUUUUAUGCAAUGUCUCCUCCCACUAGCUACCCAUUUCAUUUUUUAUUCUACAAAUCACAGUAGCAUCUCUUUAUAAGCUAAUACUAUAUGGAAUUAAUGGUUCUUUGAGAUCCAUACAAAUAGGGCAAUACACGGAUGGCAGUGACUCUGUCUCCUCCGCAAGAAUACAAGAGAGGCAAAUCCAGUUUGGCUUGGCUCCCUGUAGGAAACAGGAUGGUGGUGACGCUCGUGCAUCCUUAUCGUUGAUUUAUUUGAUCUGGAAGUAAAAUGGACAAUUUGCAACGCAUGAAUGAAGUUGACUCUGUCACCUCGAAUGCAUACAAAAGAAUGCAAUACAGCUUGGCUUGCCUCCUCUCCCUGUAGGAUAUAAAAUUAGGUUGCCGUAGGCUUUUCACAUAUAUGGCUCGUUUCUCGUCAUCUACGAAAAUUAUUCAAUGUCCUCUCCUUUCUUUCUUUCCUUUUUUUUUGGUUAUAAUUUUAAGUCUUUAUGCUUGAAGCCUUUUUGUUGAGCGUUCAUUUAUGCAUUUCUUCACACAUCUAUUUCCAUCAAUAGCUUUUUGUGCAAGUGCCUCGAUUAGUAAGCUAUAUUACACACUCUUUCAGGGUGGCUGCUUUUACACAAACCUUGCCUGGUGAAUUAGGUUGUUCCUCUCAAAAUGAUGAAACUUAUCCCACCACAUCUCACUGGCUGACCUCAUCCAUGUUGGUUAUCAUGACACUGAUGAAAAGAUACAGGUUAUACUUUAUUUAUAGCUAUAGUUGUCAGUUUGAAUUUUAUCAAAUACAAGCUUCUGCUUUUCAGUUAGCAUAAAACAGGACACAAAAUUCUCUUGGCCAAAAGAAAAUAUAGGCAGACUGAACAGACAUCAUGCUUACAUUAAUGUCUAAAAUCAAGGUCACAAAAUCGAUCCGCAGCUAUUUGACACCAAAAAUGUCACUUGGAUGCAUAAACAAUUUACUCUUAUAAGCUCCAUGAACAACUCCCAAAAUGGGCCAAAAAAAAAAAAAAAUCAAGAUAAACUUCUACGUUAGACGGCCUUACUAUAAUACAGAUGCACCUCAACCCAGAACAUUACAGGGCAAGAAAAAGGGCCGCAAAAUGGACGUUUGAAAACUACUAUCUACUCAACCUUUGGUUCUCAUAAUUGUGAUACUGCCUUUUCCUCCCUCAGUGCGAAUUUUGGUUUUACCAACAACAGGCUUCCCAGAAAAAGCUGAUUUUGGAUAAGCUGAAGGAUCUUCAGUAUUUUGUCUUAAUGUUGAUGCAGGAGAGUGAAUCCGCUGGUUUAUGUCCUUCAAAGUAAUGUCUCCAUGGACUCCACAUGGCUUAAUGAAAGCAAAUGGAUAGGCAACUGAAGAAGCUAAUUUAGUUGGGGUUCUUAUGAGUGACUUUCUACCUAAAGUGAGCAGAACAGAGAGUCAGACAUAGUCGUUUGACAGAAUUUUGAAUAAAAAAUCCACAAUCAUACCAGACAAAAUGUGCUAGAAGUUGCUACAGAUGUAAAGGGCAUGUGGAUCAUGACGAUAUAAAGAAAACAAUAAUACAAACAAUAACCAAAAUAGCACACGUAAACAACACAGUUUAUAAAUGAUUCUAUCCAUAACUGAUUUUAUGUACUAUUCAUUUGUGUAUGCAGGCGAGCAGAUCAACACAGAACAAAAGGAAGACUACCAGAAAUGAUCAAAUCUAGGAAGUUGCUGUGUUAUCGUAAUAUCGCACUAUAAUUAAAAAUGACAGCACAUUAAUUCAGAAUUAACAAACUUCAAAGUGAAAGCAAAAACAGGCAUGUACCUCUAAAAACAACAUUGUGAGGAGUUUUAGUACAAUGCUGUUGAAGAAUGUUAGCAUCAUAUGCAGGCGGUGAAUUACUGAAUUCUGCAACAGUGAACAACUUUUGAUAAGCUUAAUGCAGAAAAGGAAAAAGAGAGGGCGAAGGAGAGAGAGAAGUGCACAUAAAAUAUGAAAAAACAGUGAUAGAUAUUGAACAAGAAGUAUAACUUCAUGCACCUGAAAUAUCAAUUUGUAUAUCAGAUGCUCCAGAGAAGUCCCUGAGUCUAACAUGAUAAACAAAUCAGAUUAUAGUCAAAUGGCAAUCAAACUAAAAAGCAAUAGUCCAAAGAAACAUACAGCUCAUCAGUGCUAAAAUUCAUCUCAGGAUCAUUAAGGCAUUCGGAAAUCCACCCCUCUAAUGACUGAUCUGUACCAUCACAACUAGAGGCAGAUACACCUGCUAAGAUAUGUCACAAUAUGAUUAGAGAACUCGAAAAUAGACAUUCAAGUUCUUGACUGUAUCAUAAUGUAGUUGCAAAAUACAAACCUGAAAACUCAGUAGUCCACUGAGAUGCUUCAGGUAAUACUUCUUCGACUGACUCCCCCCUCUCCUACACAGAAUGAAGAACAUAAAUAUUAGCAAUGUUGAAAGGACAAGCAAGGAGCAAUUUAGACAUAUGAUCAAAUAACUAAAACGUGCUCCAUAAUAUAAAGACAUGAUGCUAUUACAGAAUGAUCACAAAGAAGAGAUGUGGCCCGCACUGACAUUUGAUUUAAGGAACGGAGAUGGCAUUUCAUCACUGCAUAGGGAAGAAUCUACCACUUGAGUGUCAAAUUGUAACAUUCGUCGCCUCUUUAUUUGGGAAUAAGUCUCCCUACAAUCUUUUGGUUCCUUGCUCAUAUUACCUGAAAUCAACUCUCUCAAAUAAAAAAAAAACAUUGUCCAACCAGCAUGAUCUUUCAACGCAAGAAAAGGAAAUUGUGAGAGUCAAUGAAUGCUAGCAAAACAAGCCCCUACCGUUAUGAGUGGCAUGGUAAGCCAAAUCCCCACAUGCCUUAACCGGGGUUGUUUCAUCAUCAAGCAUGUAGGAAAGAUCCUCCCCAUUCAGAGCCACUUCAUUCCAUUGUGACCCAGACAUGUCUGCUAAAAUAAAAAAAUGACACAUACCCAGAUAUCACCACUCUCAUUCUACAUGCCAAGCUUGGCCAAAAUCACUAGUUUCUGUAAAACACUUGAAUAACAUGCAAACUACACAUUGAGUCCUUUCCAAUUCCAAGACUUACGAUAACCAGUUUAUAAAGCAAAAAUGUAAGAAUUAACAAUCACCAAAUACACUUCCAAUGCACGAUAUAUAAACAAAUUUUUAGAAAUACAAGUCAUGAAAUUUCUCCGAUAAAAAAAAAAAAAAUUCCAAUUUGUAUUGAGUCAGCCAUUGUGAAUAAGCUUUCUAAAUUCUAAUAGCAUUUGAGUCAAUUAUAAAAAACAAUAUACCAGAUUAAAUUUACUAAAAGAUUAAAAAAACAAAACAAUAGAAAAUCAAAUUACACACGAAACCCUAGAUUGUCUAUUUCAAGCAAAGUAUGUAACUUAUAAUAAAAUUAAAUGCAGAUUUGAGAACCCAAAAAUACCACAAUUGAAUUAGAGAGUGUUAUUAGUUAGGGUUUUAAUGAGAAUGAAAAACACUGAGGAAACCGGGAACGUGCAGGAUAAAAAGCAUUACCAGUGGAAGCGUAAGAUAGAGAACGGCAAGUUAACGUGCGCCUCCAGGAAUAGAGAUAGAGAGAGAGACGAGCACCCCAAGCACUGUAAGUAACUGGGAGUGGAAAAUAAAGGGGUCGUUUGCCUUUGUCGUCUUCUACUUACUUCCCCUCUCUGUUAGUUAUUUAUUUAUUUUUAUUUUUUUAAUGGGUCUCGUUACCUUACAAAGCAUGUCACAAACAUUAAAGAAAUUGACAAACAAAUCAACAACAUUACAACACGUGUAACUAUUAUAAUUCUAAUCUUACCCAUUGAAGCGGUUUGUAGCCGGUUGAAAAAAAGUAAGUCGAAAGAUGAAUAAUUUCUCCUAUACCCUAUGCAACCCAAAGCGACAUGAUUUCUUUGAACUCCCAGGCUGAGGAAACUUCCUACUUGCGCACAUCCGCCCGCUCUGAGCGAGAAAACGAACAGAUCGAGGUCGGAAUGAGAUCCGGUGUUUUCACGUCUCACCGUAGUGCCCGGUUUGGCGGUUCAGCUUGCUUCUAUGGCUCAUGUAUGAACAGCAAAACUCAUGCAGAUUGACCUGGAUGAUCCUUUACUUUUUUAUUUUUAUGAAGAGCUUUAUCCGAUUUGUUGACAAAUAACUCAAAAAAGAAUCCCUUGUAAUUUUGAUGUGGACUAAUUGGGGAGCAAGAAAGGGUGUGCUUUUUAAAAGAUGAAGAUGCAAAGAAGGUUUUUUCUAAAGCCAAAGCCACUUCACCGUUUGUGCUGAGAGUAGUCAUCAAUGAGGUAUUAAUUUUUAACUCCAUUGAUGCAAGCUCCAAGGAACUUUUCAUGGUCGCCUGCCCCUGAAUAUUUGUAUAAAUUAAAUCUUGAAGAUGUAAUGUUUGAUCAUAAAUCAAGGGGCAGGAGUUGGUGCUAUUAUAAAAAAAAAAAAAAAAAAAAAAUUCAUAGUUGCUGUGAAAACCAGCUUUAAUGGCACUGAAUCGAAUUACAAAAAGGAAAAUUUCUUGCCUCCUGAAUCGAAUUCAAACAGUAACUAUGAAUUUCUUGCUUUGACCCGGUGGCCCAAGCGGUUUUCUUUCACCAGUUUUCCCAGUUUCCCAUCACUUCUUUUUUUCUGUUCAUUUCAUUCCCAUUCGUUCGAUUUUAGUGUUCACAUCUAACGGCCCUCAUUCAUGUAAUGUUUGUUACAUGAGAAUGUAACUUAACCUGACCUUUUUUACAUUCUAUUUAUAAAAAUAAAUUCAUUAUUAAAAAUUAAAAAUAUCAAAAUUACUUUUUGCUAACUAUUUUUUAUUUUGUAAUUACAUAUUCUCUCUCUACUUUUAUAUUAUAUAAAUUAAAUUCCCAACUUUACAUUUUUUUAAAUUUAUUUUUUUGACAUUUCUUAGUAUAUUCUAAUCUAUAUUCAUACUUUAUGUAUGCAAAAUAUUUUUUUCUUGAUACUUACUAACUUUUGUGUUUAGUAAAAAUUAAUUUAUUGAUAUUCAUUAAUUUUCAUUACUUAUAAAAUUUGUUAAUAUUCAUUUUAAAAUAGUGGAUUUUUUAAACUAAUGAUAUCAAUUACUUGCGGUUAAAAUAAUAUAUAUAAAUAAAUUGAUGGAAUUUAUGAAACUGAAAAGAAAAAGAGAAGAAAUAGUUAAUUAGGUAAUUUUUUAAAAAAUAUUCAAAUAAUAUAAUUUUUAAGCGGGGGCUAUUUGAACACACCAAUUUUCUCUCUACAUUCUUUUUCUAAUUGAGAAUUUUAUUAUCUAAAUAUUUUUUAAUAAACUUACAUAAUUAACUGUUUCUUCUCUUUCUCAUCUUAAGUUCACAAAUUCCCAUCAAUUCAUUGAGAUAUAUUCUUUUAGUUACAAAUAAUUGAUAUCACAAACUAGGGAAAACAAAAUCCACAGUUUAAAUUGAAUGUCAACAAAAUUUUAUGAGUCAUGAAAGUUAAUGAAUAUUAAGAAAUUAAUUUUUACUAAACAGAAAAGUUAAUGAACAUCAAGAAAAAAUUCUUAUAUAUAAAAAAUAUGAAAUAGAGGUCAUGAUCUACUCGAAAAGACCAAAAAUGAAUUUAAAAAAUAGUAAAAUAGAGUUUUUAGUUUAUAAAAUGUGAGAAUUUGCAAUUGUAGAAAGAUUCAUGAAAGGUAAUCUUGAUAUUUUCAAAUUUCAAAUUUCAAAUUUAUAAUAAUUUAUUCAUUUGUUAAAAUAAGGGUUGAGAGGAAUUUGGUGGGAUCAAUAGUUCCAUCUAAUAUUUCAUUAGAAAGAGCGUGUGGACAGAAAAUUGGCGGACUCAAAUAGCCCCACUCUUUCUUUAAUUUCGCAUUGACCCCGAUUAUUUUGUGAUUUUCUCCUUUUAGUCAAUAUUAAUUGUUGUUACUGGAUUUUCCCCUGAGACCUAGAGCGAGCCCAUAACGUUCAUGCUCGAGGGCUUCCCAGCCCCAAGAACCAAGCCCAAUAAUCUUGAGGCAGGUUUAUCCAGGAAAGGUGCCUCUGCUAGGACAAGAAAAGUCAAUUCGGGUUCUGAGUCGAUCUUCAGCCUAGUAAGUGAUAAAGCGUACAGUAAUGAUAUUUGACAAACAUCAAAAGAUCGAUUAAUAUGAAAAAAUCCAUCACGAUAACCAAGUGUGUGAAUGUGAGUGUGAGUGUGAGUGUGAGUGUGAGGCGUGAGUUAUUUUAAUUUGUGGAUCCCUCUAACGUACAUUUAGGUCUCGUUUGGUAUGCCGGAUUAGAUUAGAUUGGAUAGGAUAAUAUUGAACUAUAUAAUAUUAUGUUGUGUUUGGUGCAAUAUUGGAUUGGACUAUAAAUAAUCAUGUUUUAUAUUAUAAUAUUACAAUUUACAAGUUAUUAUUAUUAUUAUUAUUAUUAUUAUUAUUAUUAGUAUAAACUGAAAUUUUGUAUUAUUAAUAAUACAAAUCAACCUCAAUGACAUUAAUGAAAUAUAAAUAAUAAUUUAAAUAAUUUUUAUUUUGUUAAAUAUAUAUAUGAUAUUUUUAUUAUUUUUAUUCAAUAAUCUAUUAUUUUAUAAAAAAAAGUAUCUUUUUGAAUAUUAAUUUAAUAAUUAAUUUAUAAUGUACAUUUGAAAUUAUAAAAAUAAUUAAUAAUAAAAUAAAUUAAAAUAAAAUUUUAUUUUAAUUUGAAAUUAAUAAUUUUUUUAGUAUAAUUUAUUAUUUACAUGAUUAAAAUCAAUAUUUUUUAUUACAUUUAUCACAUAUGACUAUAAUUUUAAUAUUUAUAAAUUAUUAUGUUUAAUUGAGUUAUCAAUAUAAUCCAAUACUAACUAAUCCCAUAGCCUCCCUUGGGAUAAUUUUUUUUACAAAAUUGAGAUUAGUUUGUGGGCCCACGAUGACUAAAUUCCAAUACCCUUGAUAGCACCAAACAUGAGACAAGGAUAAAAUUUAAAAAAAGAAUCAAAUCCCUACUUUUAAUCCUCCAACCAAACAAGACCUUAAUGUAUGUUAGGGUUUUGCCUUAAUUUCUAGGCAUUUGCUGCCUCAAUGAAAAUGAAGAUGUGCUCGUUUUGCAUGUGUUAUUCUGCAAUGAAAAUGACGGUGUGCUCGUUUUGCAUGUGUUAUUCUUCAGUCACAUCCUCUUUUGUUUCUGUCUGCCUUUACAACAAAAAUUUACCAGCAACCUGCAAGCAUUCAUGCACAAACAGCCAAAAAAACGCCUAAUAUCAUCGCCCCACUUGCCCUUGUUUAGUUCUUUUCAAGCUCAAAGCCAACCUCAGUACAUUGGGAUAAAGACUAGAAGCAGAGAACAGCCGCUGCCAGAUCUACAAGAUGUGAAAUAAAGAAGAGCAUCAAAAUCCUUAAUUAUUGCUUGUCUAUGUCAUGGUUUUAAAAGAUAAACAAUCUUGAUAGGCUUUCUUACGUAAGACAUACAGAUCCAACGAAAAUUAGAUGAAACGUUUAGACACAAGACCUUAACUUUGAUAUCGUAUGAAGAGUAUAUUUAUAAUAUAAUGUAUUGUUUGGCACAUUGUCUCUGAGUCUCAAUAAAAAUUUUUAAGUUUUUCAUUGCUAGCUUCUUAAAUUUUCAUGUAUUAUACAUAAUAUAUUAUGAGUUAGGAGUCAUAAACUCAUGAAUAUGAAAACUUAGGAUAAAAAAUUUGAGAUUUUUUUAAAUAAUUUAUUUAGGUAUUUUAUUUUAUAGAAGUUCAUGGACUUACUCAAAUGCUAACUAAGACUUGAGGGUUGCCUAAGCCUUUAUAUACCUACCCAAUAAUUUAUUAUCAAACAAUGUGAGAUAUUAUCCCUAACCCUCAACAGUGUGGAGUACAAUCCUUAAUAACAUAUUCCUUUGAAGAAAAAAAAAAAAAAAACUUGCUUAGGUAUUUCAAAAAGGGGAGAUUGUCAAAUAACAUUUACUGUAAUUAAUAUAUAUCAUUUACCCCAUGUAUAUUUUUAUAAUAGCCAAUAACUCCCUAACAACAUUAAUUUACAAUAAUAUUCCUAUUUUUAAAUAUAUUUUUAUUUAUAUUUAUUAUAAAUUAAAUAAAUUAUAUGAAUAGAAACUGAAUUAAAAAUAAGUAUUAAAAACAAUAAAUAUAUGUUUUGAUGUGAACAAAAAAAUAGUAAUAAAAUUUUUUCCUAUACUUUUUUUAUUUUCUAAACAUUUUCAUCUAAUAAAUAUUUUGUAAAUUUAAACUUAAAUGUAAAAAGUACAAGAAUAAUAGUUGAUUAUUUAUUUUAUAAUAAUUUUUUAUUUAUCAUUCAAGUUUUCUUAUAAUAAUUUUUUAUCAUUUUAUAAUAAUUUUCUUAUAUAUUUAUUAUAAGAAAAUAUUUAUAAAAUAAAAAGUACAAGAAAAAUAUUUUAUUAUUAAUUUUUUAUAACAAAAUAUAUAUUUCUUAUUUUUAAUACUUAAUUUUUUUUUUUCAUUCAUGUGAUUUAUUUAAUUUAUAAUAAACAUAAAUAAGAAUGUGAUUAAAAAUAAGAGUAAUAUUAUAAAUUUAUACUAUUAAGAAAUAGGGGAAAUUAGCAACCUCCCUUCAAAAAACCAUGACACAUAUGUUCUAUAGAUAUCAUCCCACUAGCCAAAGUUGUGACACACACCAAGUAAAGGAUAAUUGAUAUCAUAACUCUUGCUUUCAAAAUGAGGCUCAUUGGGUCCUUACUAAUUUUCUCUCUAGUUUUAUCUUUUGUACAAGGAGGUUCAGCACAGAAUUGUGGAAGCGGCGCUGUGUGCGGUGAACGUGAUACUGGCCACGGGACGGAUGGCGGUGAACUGGGCAAGAUCAUCUCAAGGGAGAUGUUUGAAGACUUGCUUCCGUAUAGAAAUGAUGAACGAUGCCAUGCCAGAGGCUUCUACACUUAUGAUGCUUUUAUAGAGGCAGCCAAAGCUUUUCCAGCCUUUGGUAACUCUGGAAAUGAAACCAUGCGUAAAAGAGAAAUUGCUGCCUUUUUUGCCCAAACUGGCCAUGAAACUACUGGUUUGUUUCAAUUCCUGAUCAGCUUAAUUAAAUUUAAAGAUUCCUUUUUCCGGUGCACUAACAAGUAAUGUGCAAGUAUUAAAUUAUAAAUAAACAGCAUCACCCAAUCUCCAAUCGGUAUUUUAAUUUGUUACUAAUCAAUUUUUGUGGUUGAUAAACUUACAGGGGGAUGGCCCGAUGCACCUGGUGGAGAAUAUGCUUGGGGAUAUUGCUAUAUUAGGCAAGUUAGCCAUGGGUCCGACUACUGUUAUCCUUACUGUCCAUGUCCCUUGCCAGGGCAAUACUAUGGCCGAGGUCCAAUUCAACUCACUUGGUAGGCUGAACAUUUUGAAUUAGUAUAUCAUUGUCUGAUCUGAAUGAGAAAGUCUUGCCCUCUUGAAUUGAAAACUUGUUAAAUGUGCAUUUACAUUCUAUCCAACAUUAAUUAUUCACUAACUUGUUCGUGUACAGGAAUUGCAAUUACUUAAGGUGCGGAGAAGCCUUGGGGGUGGACUUGUUGAACAAUCCAGACCUUCUUGCCACUGAUCCAGUACUAUCAUUCAAGUCAGCAAUCUGGUUCUGGAUGACUGCACAGCCACCAAAGCCAUCGUGCCACGAAGUCAUUAUCGACGAAUGGAAACCAUCAGCAAAUGACGUAAACGCCGGCCGGCUUCCGGGAUACGGUCUAACCACAAAUAUAAUCAACGGUGGAAUUGAAUGUGGCAAAGGUUGGGAAUGACGCUGUACGUAACCGUAUUGGGUUCUUUACCACUUUCUGUGGCAAGUUUGGGAUUCAGCCUGGUGACAAUCUUGAUUGCUCCAACCAACGGCCUUAUGGCCUUAAUCUGAUGGCACAAUCUAUGUGAUCAUCAUGAUCAACGUUUUAGUAAAAUAAGCUUAAUAAAAGCUACUUAAUAAAAACUUUAGAUGUCACACUUCUAGGUGGACAACUAAACUGUUACGCUCUUAUUGUAAGUAAAUUAAAUAAGACUGAUCCAACAUGGAUCAAUGAGUCUUCUCCAUCUUUCAUCGUUUGAUUAUUUUAACAUGACAAUUAUUUGCAACGCAAAAAGUGCCGUUGACACUUAUCCUGCCUAUACAGAUAAAGGCAAUAUCCAAUUCUGUAAGCCACAUGCAUAUUCAACGGCAUUGCUAUUCAUCAUCAUGAUGCUCAUUGUGGUAGAGAUUAUAAAAUUUUGAUUAGGUCUGCUAUCCAACGUGGCUUGUCUCUCACUUGGAGGAAAUGCCUGGCAAACGAGUCAUGCAUGCAUCAAAUCAUUAUGAAGUUAGUACGCGUAUUGCUGCAGAAAUCACCCUACUACAAAGACAGCUAGAACAUUUUUGGAUACCUAAGCCCUGGGAAGUUAGUCUACCAUGUGGAUCUCAAUAAUAGAUAAUACUUUAUCAUAUAGUAGGCGACAAUAGGAAACUUCACAACAAUGAUUUCUAUUUUAAAAUUGCAUACAAUUUGCCAUAAACAAAAAUAAGGGGUUCUCUAAGAUGUUUGAACCAAUGAUUUAAUGGGGAAAAGAAUCUGAAGAAUUUACAGUUAAGUUUCACCUGUUCAUCCUACGCAUUCAUUUAUUUUUACUUCAAAGAAGGCGAAAUGAUAAUCAAGUAUCAUCUAGCAAUAUUUAAGAGUGAAAGCAACCGAUACUGAGAUGGAAGAAAGGUGAUAUACCAGACAAACAAUUUGUUUUUUGUAUAUAAUUUCAUUUCUAUAGGAUGAUACAGGUAUAUUUCAAUCAUUUAUAAGUAUGACAAUAAAAUUUGUAAUCUAAUUGUUGAGGAUGUUGAGAAAGGAGACUCUAGCUUUGAUCAAACGCCUAGACAAGGAUUAAAGGCCUUCUUCAAGAUCUUGGAUGCUGGACUCCAAUUCUUUGAGCUGGUUUUGCAAAUAAACAGUGUUAACAGAUUUGAGUGUCAAUGCGGCAUCCACCUUCUCAAACUCAUUCGUUUCUAUCUUGACUUCCUCACAAGCUAUUCUUUUGGGGCGGAUGAGUUUGGAAGCCAAUACAAACCCACUUAGCUUUGAUGGAAUCCCAGCACCCGAGAUAAAGGACAGCAAGGAUCCAAAUGCAGCUAAGGUUACUGCUUCAACCUCUUUCAACGCGCUAACAUGUUCCUCAUUGAUUAGAGAAGAGCAUUUGUUUCCCAUGCCUUGUCAAUUCGCCAAGGCCUUGUGGACUUCCUGUUUUACUGCCUUCCUAGAGGCUAUGCAUUUCUUAACCUCAGUUGCAAGUUCAAUUUCAUCUCCUCCUCUUCUGCGCAGAACUGAUUGAAGUCCUUGUGUAGAUUCCUUAAUCUGCAAGAGAGCAUUCUGAGCAAUGCUGCUAGUUUCCAAGAUCCUCAAAGAUCCAUUCAAAAGGUCAUCAACCCAUUUCUUAUGCUGGCCUUGGGCUAAAGCUUGUUGAACAAGAGGCAGUUGAAGCAUUUUAUCAACAGAAUCAUGUAAAUCUUGAAGGCCAUUUAACUCGUGGGCUAUUGAUGAAGAUAAUGAAGUAGAAGCAGCUUGAGAAUACCUUAAUCUUCUCAAAUUCUCUCCAACAUCUGAAGUGAGAGGGUGUGAUCUUGUGGGAAAGCUGUUUGAGCGAGUAUGGUAAGAGGCAGCCAUUUUUCCUUGCUGUGUAUGAAAAGACUGGAAGUUGAUUGUCAAAAUUCAAUCUAGCUCUUUUGCCUUCAUUCGGUUAACAAAUGCUAUAUAUAUAUAUAUAGACUGAGAUGAUGGGAACAAGAGGAAUCUCAUCCUCUAACAUGAUUUAGAUCUUGAUCUUAACAAUAUAUCACCUAAUUUUAUGCAAUGUCUCCUCCCACUAGCUACCCAUUUCAUUUUUUAUUCUACAAAUCACAGUAGCAUCUCUUUAUAAGCUAAUACUAUAUGGAAUUAAUGGUUCUUUGAGAUCCAUACAAAUUUGCAACGCAUGAAUGAAUUUGACUCUGUCACCUCGAAUGCAUACAAAAGAAUGCAAUACAGCUUGGCUUGCCUCCCUCUCCCUGUAGGAUAUAAAAUUAUGUUGCCGUAGGCUUUUCACAAUAUGGCUCGUUUCUCGUCAUCUACGAAAAUUAUUCAAUGUCCCUCUCCUUCCUUUCUUUCCUUUUUUUUUUUUUUUGGUUAUAAUUUUAAGUCCUUAUGCUUGAAGCCUUUUUGUUGAGCGUUCAUUUAUGCAUUUCUUCACACAUCUAUUUCCAUCAAUAGCUUUUUGUGCAAGUGCCUCGAUUAGUAAGCUAUAUAUUACACACUCUUUCAGGGUGGCUGCUUUUACACAAACCUUGCCUGGUGAAUUAGGUUGUUCCUCUCAAAAUGAUGAAAACUUAUCCCUCCACAUCUCACUGGCUGACCUCAUCCAUGUUGGUGAUCAUGACACUGAUGAAAAGAUACAGGUUAUACUUUAUUUAUAGCUAGAGUUGUCUGUUUGAAUUUUAUCAAAAUACAAGCUUCUGCUUUCCAGUUAGCAUAAAACAGGGCACAAAAUUCUCUUGGCCAAAAGGAAAUAUAGGCAGACUGAACAGACAUCAUGCUUACAUUAAUGUCUAAAAUCAAGGUCACGAAAUCGAUCCGCAGCUAUUUGACACCAAAAAUGUCACUUGGAUGCAUAAACAAUUUACUCUUAUAAGCUCCAUGAACAACUCCCAAAAUGGGCCAAAAAAAAAAAAAAAAAUCAAGAUAAACUUUUAUAUCUUACAAAGCAUGUCACAAACAUUACAGAAAUUGACAAACAAAUCAACAACAUUACAACACGUGUAACUAUUAUAAUUCUAAUUUUACCGAUUGAAGCGGUUUGUAGCCGGUUGAAAAAAGUAAGUCGGGAAGAUGAAUAAUUUCUCCUACAGCCAUUGCAACCCAAAGCGACAUGAUUUCUUCGAUCUCGCAUUCUGAGGAAACUUCCUACUUGCGCAUAUCCGCCCGCUCCGAGCGAGAAAACGAACAGAUCGAGGUCGGAAUGAGAUCCGGUGUUUUCACGUCUCACCGUAGUGCCCGGUUUGGCGGUUCAGCUUGCUUCUACGGCUCAUGUAUGAACAGCAAAACUCAUGCAGAUUGACCUGGAUGAUCCUUGGGGUUACUUUUUGAUUUUUAUGAAGAGUUUUAUCCGAUUUGUUGACAAAUAACUCAAAAAAGAAUCCCUUGUAAUUUUGAUGUGGACUAAUUGGGGAGCAAGAAAGGGUGUGCUUUUUAAAAGAUGAAGAUGCAGAGAAGGUUUUUUCUAAAGCCAAAGCCACUUCACCGUUUGUGCUGAGAGUAGUCAUCAAUGAGGUAUUAAUUUUUAACUCCAUUGAUGCAAGCUCCAAGGAACUUUUCAUGGUCGCCUGCCCCUGAAUAUUUGUAUAAAUUAAAUCUUGAAGACGUAAUGUUUGAUCAUAAAUCAAGGGGCAGGAGUUGGUGCUAUUAUAAAAAUAAAAAAUAAAAAAAAUUCAUAGUUGCUGUGAAAACCAGCUUUAAUGGCACUGAAUCGAAUUACAAAAAGGAAAAUUUCUUGCCUCCUGAAUCGAAUUCAAACAGUAACUAUGAAUUUCUUGCUUUGACCCGGUGGCCCAAGCGGUUUUCUUUCACCAGUUUUCCCAGUUUCCCAUCACUUCUUUUUUUCUGUUCAUUUCAUUCCCAUUCGUUCGAUUUUAGUGUUCACAUCUAACGGCCCUCAUUCAUGCAAUGUUUGUUACAUGAUGAUGUAACUUAACCUGACCUUUUUUACAUUCUAUUUAUAAAAAUAAAUUCAUUAUUAAAAAUUAAAAAUAUCAAAAUUACUUUUUGCUAGCUAUUUUUUAUUUUGUAAUUACAUAUUCUCUCUCUACUUUUAUAUUAUAUAAAUUAAAUUCCCAACUUUACAUUUUUUUAAAUUUAUUUUUUUGACAUUUCUUAGUAUAUUCUAAUCUAUAUUCAUACUUUAUGUAUGCAAAAUAUUUUUUUCUUGAUACUUACUAACUUUUGUGUUUAGUAAAAUUAAUUUAUUGAUAUUCAUUAAUUUUCAUUACUUAUAAAAUUUGUUAAUAUUCAUUUUAAAAUAGUGGAUUUUUUAAACUAAUGAUAUCAAUUACUUGCGGUUAAAAUAAUAUAUAUAAAUAAAUUGAUGGAAUUUAUGAAAUUGAAAAGAAAAAGAGAAGAAAUAGUUAAUUAAGUAAUUUUAAAAAAAAUAUUCAAAUAAUAUAAUUGUUAAGCGGGGGCUAUUUGAACACACCAAUUUUCUCUCUACAUUCUUUUUCUAAUUGAGAAUUUUAUUAUCUAAAUAGUUUUCAGUAAAAUUACUUAAUUAACUCUUUCUUCUCUUUCUCAUCUCAAGUUCACAAAUUCCCAUCAAUCCAUUGAGAUAUAUUCUUUUAGUAACAAAUAAUUGAUAUCACAAACUAGGGAAAACAAAAUCCACAGUUUAAAUUAAAUGUCAACAAAAUUUUAUGAGUCAUGAAAGUUAAUAAAUAUCAAGAAAUUAAAUUUUACUAAACAGAAAAUUAAUGAACAUCAAGAAAAAGUUUUUAUAUAUAAAAAGUAUGAAAUAGAGGUCAUGAUCUAUUAGAAAAGACCAAAAAUGAAUUUAAAAAAUAGUGAAACUGAGUCUUUAGUUUAUAAAAUGUGAGAAUUUGCAAUUGUCAGGUAUAGAGAGAGAUUCAUGAAAGGUAAUCUUGAUAUUUUCAAAUAGUCCCAUCUAAUAUUUGAUUGGAAAGAGCGUGUGGACAGAAAAUUAGCGGACUCAAAUAGCCCCACUCUUUCUUUAAUUUCGCAUUGACCCCGAUUAUUUUGUGAUUUUCUCCUUUUAGUCAAUAUUAAUUGUUGUUACUGGAUUUUCCCCUGAGACCUAGAGCGAGCCCAUAACGUUCAUGCUCGAGGACUUCCCUGCCCCGAGAACCAAGCCCAAUAAUCUUGAGGCCUUUGCAGGUUUAUCCAGGAAAGGUGCCUCUGCUAGGAUAAGAAAAGUCAAUUCGGGUUGUGAGUCGAUCCUCAGCCUAGUAAGUGAUGACAGCGUACAGUAAUGAUCUUUGACAAACAUCAAAAGAUCGAUUAAUAUGAAAAUGACGAUGUGCUCGUUUUGCAUUUGUUAUUCUUCAGUCACAUCCUCUUUUGCUUCUGUCUGCCUUUACAACAACAAUUUACCAUCAACCUUCAAGCAUUCUUGCACAAACAGCCAAAAAAACACCAAAUAUCAUCGCCCCACUUGCCCUUGUUUAGUUUUUUUCAAGCUCACAGCCAAUCUCAGUACACUGGGAUAAAGACUAGAAGCAGAGAACAGCCGCUGCCAGCUCUAGAAGAUGUGAAAUAAAGAAGACCAUCAAAAUCCUUAAUUAUUGCUUGUCUAUGUCAAGGUUUUAAAGAUAAACAAUCUUGAUAGGCUUUCUUACGUAAGACAUAUAGAUCCAACGAAAAUUAGAUGAAACGUUUAGACACAAGACUUUUAACUUUGAUAUCGUAUAAAGAGUAUAUUUAUAAUAUAAUCUAUUGUUUGGCACAUCGUCUCUGAGUCUCAAUAAAAAAAUUUUAAGUUUUUCGUUGCUAGCUUCUUAAAUUUUCAUGUAUUAUACAUAAUAUAUUAUGAGUGAGGAGUCAUAAACUAAUGAAUAUGGAAACUUAGGAUAAAAAGUUUGAGAUUUUUUUAAAUAAUUUAUGUAGGUAUUUUAUUUUAUAGAAGUCCAUGGACUUACUCAAAUGCUAACUAAGACUUGAGGGUUGCCUAAACUUUUAUAUACCUAACCAAAAAUUUAUUAUCAAACAAUGUGAGAUAUUAUCCCUAACCCUUAACGGUGUGGAGUACAAUCCUUAAUAACAUAUUCCUUUGAAGAAAUUAAAAGAAAAAAAACUUAGUUCGGUAUUUCAAAAAGGGGAGAUUGCCAAAUUCUCUUUAUUGUUAUUGAUAUAUAUCAUUUACCCUCUUAACGGUUUUUAUAAUAGCCAAUAACCCCUUAACAACAUUAGUUUAUAAUAUUAUUCAUAUUUUCAAAUACACUUUUAUUUUUAUUUAUUAUAAAUUAAAUAAAUCAUAUGAAUAGAAACUGAAUAAAAAAUAAGUAUUAAAAACAAUAAAUAUAUGUUUUGAUGUGAACAAAAAAAUUAGUAAUAAAAUUUUUUCUUGUACUUUUUUAUUUUCUAAACAUUUUCUUCUAAUAAAUAUUUUGUAAAUUAUAAAAUUAAAUGUAAAAAGUACAAUAACAAUAUUUUAUUAUUUAUUUUAUAAUAAUUUUUUUAUCAUUUUAUAGUAAUUUUCUUAUAUAUUUAUUAUAAGAAAAUAUUUAUAAAAUAAAAAGUAUAAGAAAAAUAAUUUAUUAUUAAUUUUUAUAUCAAAAUAUAUAUUUCUUAUUUUUAAUACUUAAUUUUUUAUUUUAAUUUCUAUUCAUAUGAUUUAUUUAAUCUAAAAUAAAUAUGAAUAAGAGUGUAAUUAAAAAUAAGGGUAAUAUUAUAAAUUUAUACAAUUAAGAGAGUUAUUAGUUAUUAUAAAAAUAAUAAGAGACAAAUGUUAUAUAUCGAUUACAGUAUUGGGAAAAUUAGCAACCUCUCUUCAAAAAACCUUGACAUAUACGUUCUAUAAAUAUAACCCUCUAGCCAAAGCUGUGACAUACACCAAGCAGAGGAUAAUUGAUAUCAUAACUGUUGCUUUCAAAAUGAGGCUUAUUGGGUCCUUACUAAUUUUCUCUCUAGUUUUAUCUUUUGUACUAGGAGGCUCAGCACAGAACUGUGGAAGCGGCGUUGUGUACGGUGGACGUGAUACCGGCCAUGGGACGCAUGGCGGUGAACUGGGCAAGAUCAUCUCAAGGGAGAUGUUUGAUGACUUGCUUGAGUAUAGAAAUGAUGAACGAUGCCCUGCCAGAGGCUUCUACACUUAUGAUGCUUUUAUAGAGGCAGCCCAAGCUUUUCCAGGCUUUGGUAACUCUGGAAAUGAAACCAUGCGUAAAAGAGAAAUCGCUGCCUUUUUUGCCCAAACUGGCCAUGAAACUACUGGUUUGUUUCAAUUCCUGAUCAGCUUAAUUAAAUUUAAAGAUUCCUUUUUCCGGUGCACUAACAAGCAAUGUGCAAGUAUUAAAUUAUAAAUAAACAGCAUCACCCAAUCUCCAAUCGAUAUUUUAAUUUGUUACUAAUCAAUUUUUGCGGUUAAUAAACUUACAGGGGGAUGGCCCGAUGCACCUGGUGGCGAAUAUGCUUGGGGAUAUUGCUUUAUAAGCGAAGUUAGCCCUCCGUCCGACUACUGUGAUCCUAACUAUCCAUGUCGAGGGAAGUACUAUGGCCGAGGUCCAAUUCAACUCUCUUGGUAGGCUGAACAUUUUGAAUUAGUAUAUCAUUGUCUGAUCUGAAUGAGAAAGUCUUGGCCUCUUUAAUUAAAAACUUGUUAAAUGUGUAUUUACAUUCUGUCGAACAUUAAUUAUUAACUAAUUUGUUGGUGUUUAGGAAUUACAAUUACUUACGGUGCGGAGAAGGCCUAGGGCUAGGAGAGGAGUUGUUGAACAAUCCAGACCUUCUUGCUACUGAUCCAGUACUAUCAUUCAAGUCAGCAAUCUGGUUCUGGAUGACUGCACAGCCACCAAAGCCAUCGUGCCACGAAGUCAUUAUCGACGAAUGGAAACCAUCAGCAAAUGACGUAAACGCCGGCCGGCUUCCGGGAUACGGUCUAACCACAAAUAUAAUCAACGGUGGAAUUGAAUGUGGCCAAGGUGGGAAUGCCGCUGUACGUAACCGUAUUGGGUUCUUUACCACUUUCUGUGGCAAGUUUGGGAUUCAGCCUGGUGACAGUCUUGAUUGCUACAACCAACGACCUUAUGGCCUUAAUCUGAUGGCACAAUCUAUGUGAUCAUCAUGAUCAACGUUUUAGUAAAAUAAGCUUAAUAAAAGCUACUUAAUAAAAACUUUAGAUGUCACACUUGUAGGUGGACAACUAAAUUGUUAGUUUGUUACGCUCUUAUUGUAAGUAAAUUAAAUAAGACUGAUCCAACAUGGAUCAAUGAGUCUUCACCAUCUUUCAUCGUUUGAUUAUUUUUUUGAGUUUUUUUGUUAAAAUUUUGUACGUUUGUGGUUAGUUAUUUUAACAAAAUAAUUAGUCGAGAAAGGUAAAUGUUUUGGGGGUGAGAAAUACCACGAUCAGGCACACGAGGAGAAUGUGCUCCCUCUGCCUAGAAUGACUCCUUGAGGAAGAUUAGACCCGAUGAAGUGUGUGGCUGGUCACACGAGUAGAGUUGGCUCGAGACAUGCAAGGAGGGACCAGAACCAAGUCAAUUCGAAGACUUGGUCAAAGGUCAACCCGUGGGUUUCCUCCAAAGAAUUUGGGCACAAAGCUCACUCACCAGCAGUUACACUGCCCAUUCGCCCAUGGUUAUGUAAUCAACCCAUCAACGAAGUCGAGGGAGAAGAGGCUAAUAAUUCUGGUUGGAUAUGAAAGCUUCAGAGAACAGAGUUAAGGGAGUUAGACAACUUUUCAUUUAAUUUUCUCAUACUCUCAAUCUAUUCACAAUUUUAUCUUCUCUAUCAUUCUUUCUUUCUGAAAUAAAACCUUUCUUUUAUUUAGAGCAGUUUAAUUACGCCAUGGGAAUCGUGACCUAAGUUUUUCUAGGCAAACCCAAAUCGCUGACUUGAGCGUCGGAGGGAUUACGGUGGAAAAACCUCUAGCAUCUCCUGACUAGUUGUUGUGAACACAUGUGUUCUUGGAGGAAGUAUUUGAGGUCACAUGAACUUGUUCGAUACUGGGGAAGCUAGGGGCAGAUCCAGGAUUUUAAAGUACCCCGAGCUAAAUUUUUUAUAAAAAAAAGUUAUAUUGUAAAGUGAACAUAAAAUUUUAUAAGAAAAAAAUAAAAUACACAUAAUAAGAUGAGAACAUUAGAAAUCUUACACUAAAUAAUAAUUACUUUAAAUAAAAUAAUUAUAUAAAAAUAAAAAAUAAAAAUAUAAUUCAAAACAAAAAUAUAACUAAAGUUGUAUUUUUCGCAACUUCAAACAAUAAAGUUCAUCAAUUAUGGAUUUUGGAUCAAUAGUAUCUGCAAUUUCUCUUUCAGCAUAGACAACCAUACAAUUAGAAAGAAACUCAUUUUCUAUUUUAUUGCAAAGUGAUGUCUUGAUAAGGCUCAUGGUUGAAAAUGCAUGCUCUGUUUGUGGCUGCAAAUGAAAGGAAUUUCUUGACUUGGAUUUAUCGGACACAUUAUACCUAUAAAUUACCAUAACAUGAAACUACAUAAGAAUUAAUAAAUUAAUUAAUAAUUACAAGCUUAAUUAGCAUGCUUAAAUAAAUUAAACAAUUCAAUUUUUUUCAUCUUUUCUAUUUCUAAAAAAUAUUAUUAGUAAAAAAAUGAGAUGAAGAUUACACGAAAUUGCAGAUACUAUUAUUAGUAAACAAUUCACACUUGACUAACAUGCAAACAACACAUUGAGUCCUUGCCAAUUCCAAGACUUGCGAUAACCAGUUGCACAAUAUAUAAACAAAUUUUUAGAAAUACAAAUCAUGAAAUUUCCCCCCCAAAAAAAAAAAAAAAAAAUCCAAUUUGUAUUGAGCCAGCCAUUGUGAUUAAGCUUUCUAAAUUCUAAUAGCAUUUGAGUGAAUUUUAAAAAACGAUAUACCAGAUUAAACUUACUAAAAUAUUAAAAAAAUAGAAAAUCAAAUUACAUACGAAACCCUAGAUUGUUACUUCAAUCAAAAUAAGUACCUUCUAAUAAUUUUAAAUGCAGAUUUGAGAACUCAAAAAUACCACAAUUGAAUUCGAGUGUUAUUAAUUAGGGUUUUAAUGAGAAUGAAAAACACUGAGGAAACUGGGAACGUGCAGGAUAAAAAGCAUUACCAGUGGAAGCGUAAGAUAGAGAACGGCAAGUUAACGUGCGCCUCGAGGAAUAGAGAUAGAGAGAGAGAGAGAGACGAGCACCCCAAGCACUGUAAGUAACUGGGAGUGGAGAAAUGGCACGAGUGGAAAAUAAAGGGGUCGUUUGGUUUUGUCGUCUUCUACUUUUGUUUUGUGUUUUUUUUUUUUUUUAAAUGAGCGUGGGUAUCUGAAUCAUCCAAUUUUUUUUUAUAUUCUAUUUAUAAAAAUAAAUUCAUUAUUAAAAAUUAAAAAUAUCAAAAUUACUUUUUACUAAUUAUUUUUUAUUUUAUAAUUACAUAUUCUCUCUCUACUUUCACAUUCUAUAAAUAAUUUUUAAGUAAUUUUUUACAAAUCAUUCAGAUAAUAUAAUUUUUAAGAGUGAGGUUAUUUGAAUCCACCAAUUUCAUCUCUAUAUCUUUUUCUAAUUGAGAAUUUUAUUAUCUAAAUAGUUUUUAAUAAAAUUACUUAAUUAACCCUUUCUUCUCUUUCUUAUUUCAAUUUCACAAAUUCUCAUUAAUUCAUUGAGAUGUAUUCUUUUAACUGCAACUAGGAAAAAUAAAAUCCACAGUUAAAAUUGAAUGUCAACAAAUUUUUAUGAGUCAUGAAAGUUAAUGAAUAUUAAGAAAUUAAUUUUUAGUAAACACAAAAGUUAAUGAAUAUCAAGAAAAAGUUCUUAUAUAUAGAAAGCAUGAAAUAAAGGUUAUGAUCUACUAGAAAAGACCAAAAAUGAAUUCAAAAGAUAGUAAAAUUGAGUUUUUAAUUUAUAGAAUGUGAGAAUAAAAAGAGAAUAUGCAAUUGUAAGGUAUAGAGAAAGAUUAAUCGAGGAUAAUCUUGAUAUUUUCAAAUUUUAAAAUUUUAAUAAUGAAUUUAUUAUUUUUUAAAAAUAGGUAUAGAGAGAAAUUUGGUGGGAUCAAAUAGUCCCACCUAAUAUUUAAUUAGAAAGAUGGUGUAAGGAGAAAAUUGGCAGAUUCAAAUAGCCCUACUCUUUCUUUAAUUUUGCAUUGACCCCGGUUAUUUUAUGAUUUUCUCCUUUUAGUCAAUAUUAAUUGUUGUUACUGGAUUUUCCCCUGAGACCUAGAGCGAGCCCCUAAUGUUCAUGCUCGUGGACUUCCCUGCCCCGAGAACCAAGCCCAAUAAUCUUGAGGCCCUUGCAGGUUUAUCCAAGAAAGGUGCCUCUGUCAGGAUAAGAAAAGUGAAUUGGGGUUUUGAGUCGAUUUUCAGCCUAAUAACAGCGUACGGUCAUGAUCUUUGACAAACAUCAAAAGAUCGAUUAAUAUGAAAAAAUCCAUCACAAUAACCAUGUGUAUGAGUGUGAGUGUGAGUGUGAGUGUGAGCGUGAGUUAUUUUAAUUUCUAGGCAUUUAUUGAAUGAAAUUGACGAUUGCUCGUUUUGAAUGUGUUAUUUUUCAGUCACAUCCUAUUUUUGCUUCUAUCUGUCUUUACGACAAAAUUUUAUCAUCAACCUGCAAGCAAUCAUGCACAAGCAGCCAAAAAAAAACCUAUUAUCAUCGCCCCACUGGCUCUUAUUUUCAAGCUCAAAACCAAUCUCAGUACAUUGGGAUAAGGCGAGAUGCAGAGAACAGCCACUGCCAGCUCUAGAAGAUGUGAAAUAAAGAAGACUAUCAAAAUCCUUAAUUAUCGCUUGUCUAUAUCAUGGUUUUAAAGACAAACAAUCUUGAUGGGCUCUCUUACAUAAGACGUAUAGAUCCAAUGAAAACUAGAUCGAAACGUUUAGACACAAGACUUUUGCUUUGAUAUCAUAUAAAGAGUAUAUUUAUAAUACAAUGUAUUAUUGUUUGGCACAUUGUCUCUAAGUCUCAAUAAAAAAAUUUAAGUUUUUCGUUGUUAAGUUCUUAAAUUUCAUGUAUUAUACAUAAUAUAUUAUGAGUUGGGAGUCAUAAACUCAUGAAUAUGGAAACUCAGGAUAAAAAGUUUGAGUUUUUUUUUAAAUAAUUUAUUUAGGUAUUUUUUUUAUAGAAGUCCAUGGACUUACUCAAAUGCUAACUAAGUCUUGAGGGUUGCCUAAGCCUUUAUAUACCUAACCAAAAAUUUAUUAUCAAACAAUGUGAGAUAUUAUCUCUAACCCUCAAUGGUGUGGAGUACAAUCUUUAAUGACAUAUUCCUUCGAAGAAAUUUAAAAAAAAAAAAAAAAAAACUUGGUUAGGUAUUUCAAAAAGGGGAGAUUGCCAAAUUCUUUUUAUUAUAAUUAAUAUAUAUCAUUUACCCCCUUAACUGUUUUUAUAAUAGCCAAUAACUCCUUAACAACAUUAGUUUAUAAUAUUAUCCUUAUUUUCAAAUACACUUUUAUUUUUAUUUAUUAUAAAUUAAAUAAAUCAUAUGAAUAGAAACUGAAUAAAAAAUAAGUAUUAAAAACAAUAAAUAUAUGUUUUGAUGUGAACAAAAAAAUUAGUAAUAAAAUUUUUUCUUGUACUUUUUUUAUUUUCUAAACAUUUUCUUCUAAUAAAUAUUUUGUAAAUUAUAAAAUUAAAUGUAAAAAGUACAAUAACAAUAUUUUAUUAUUUAUUUUAUAAUAAUUUUUUAUUUAUCAUUAAAGUUUUCUUAUAAUAAUUUUUUUAUCAUUUUAUAAUAAUUUUCUUAUAUAUUUAUUAUAAGAAAAUACUUAUAAAAUAAAAAGUACAAGAAAAAUAUUUUAUUAUUAAUUUUUAUAUCAAAAUAUAUAUUUUAUAUUUUUAAUACUUAAUUUUUUAUUUUAAUUUCCAUUCAUGUAAUUUAUUUAAUCUAUAAUAAAUAUGAAUGAGAGUGUGAUUGAAAAUAAGGGAAAUAUUAUAAAUUUAUAUUAUUAAGAGAGUUAUUAGUUAUUAUAAAAAUAAUAAGAGAUAAAUAAUAUAUAUUUAUUACAGUAUAGGAACAAUAAAAUUCUUCAAAAAACCUUGACACAUACGUUCUAUAAAUAUAACCCUCUAGCCAAAGCUGUGACAUACACCAAGCAGAGGAUAAUUGAUAUCAUAACUGUUGCUUUCAAAAUGAGGCUUAUUGGGUCCUUACUAAUUUUCUCUCUGGUUUUAUCUUUUGUACUAGGAGGCUCAGCAGGGAACUGUGGAAGCGGCGUUGUGUGCCCAGGAGGGGAGUGUUGUAGUCGAUUUGGUUGGUGUGGCCUAACAACAGACUACUGUUGUGAAGGCUGCCAAAGUAACUGUAAUCAGGUUGUUUGCGGUGAAUGUGAUCCCGACGACGGGACGGCUGGUGAUGGCGGUGAACUGGGCAAGAUCAUCUCAAGGAAGAUGUUUGAAGACUUGCUUGAGUAUAGAAAUGAUAAACGAUGCCCUGCCAGAUGCUUCUACACUUAUGAUGCUUUUAUAGAGGCAGCCAAAGCUUUUCCAGCCUUUGGUAAUUCUGGAAAUGAAACCAUGCGUAAAAGAGAAAUUGCUGCCUUUUUUGCCCAAACUGGCCAUGAAA
rnacentral:lncRNA from 1 species